CAAUUUACUAGAACUCAAAACAGGAUGACCUAAGUGAUAUUAAGGAACCAUGAGCAAUGUGCUAUAUGCAUAAACCUCAAUUACUUAAUUAUUAUUCUCAGGAGUGCAUUGCAGAAGGUCAGAGCUGAAGGGGCUCUCAUCUGCCCCAACACCUUGUUUACCAGUCGGGGGAAGUUGAGACUCAGAAAUGGGUAAGGGCAUGGCCUAAAACCUUUCCAGUCUUAGUCCUGGGAUUUCAGCUCCUCCUCUGGAAGCUUCGGGUGCAAUAGUUCUAUAUUCCAUCAAACAGAUGUCUAAGAAAGUUCUCCCUCCUGGACGAAGGGAGGAAUUUGCCUGUGGACUGAAGAAGAAGAAAAGGGCCCACAAACUGCCUGAGCGAUGAGAACUGGCUUCUGGAGGAUCUGAGAACUCGCAUUCAGUCACUCACUGACCAGCCUGAGUUCGAUUGUCUGAAUUUGACUUUCUAUACAGUAACACAGCAUAGACACCUAUUCUGUUAUCUCCACAUCCUCUGGAUGGAGAAUUUUUUGUUGAUUUUACAAAAAAAAAAAAAAAA
rnacentral:lncRNA from 1 species